CAAACACAGAGAGAGAGAGAGAGAGAGAGAAAGAUAAUGUCCUGUAAUCUGACUACGUCCUCUCCUCCUCUCCUUUCCAGCCUGCCGCCUGAAGAUGCAGAUCAAGUUACGGGGAAUGACCCAAAACACACCUACAGGCUGUGUAGGGGCUACUUAACCAAGGAGAGUGAUGGAGUGCUGCAUCAGAUGACCUGGCUUUCACAAUCACCUGACCUCAACCUAAUUGGGAUGGCUUGGGAUGAGUUGGUCCACAGUGAUGGAAAAGCAGCGAAACAAGUGCUCGGCAUGUGGGAACUACUUCAAGACUUUGGAAAAACAUUCCAGAUUUCCUCUUCGUCUGAAGAGGAGGUGUAGCUAGGGGAUGGACCAAAACGCAGCGUGUCCAGGUGAUGCUUGGGAGGAAAGAUGUCAGCGUUGCGCAGCAGCUGAAACCUGGUCCCGACUGACUCCGAACGCUCCUAGGUGACAAUAACACCAAAAAAACAGGAUAUAACAAAGAAAAUUGAGAAUACAUUACAACCUUGCACAACAUCAAUUCACCUCCCAAGUUUAGAUAAGAAGAAUAACCUCAUACAAUGCAAUGAAAAGGAUAUUCACCUGAAGUGCUGGUAAUGCUUGACCUGAAAUACGGAGUCAGGUGUUGUUGCCAGCCAUAGCUUUCCACCAGCACCAUACCAUCUUCCUGUCCAACCUGUGGGAUGUUGACCCCUUUCACAGUGUUGUCCUUCACAACCCCAGCCAUCUCAGACGAAGUGCUGCUUGAUGAGGCCGAAGCAUCAGUCAGCGGCAAACUUGGUGGCUUGUGACCAGGAAGUGAAAGUCCAGACUGUGGUAGUGCACCUGCAAACAACAAAAUCACAUUAAGAUAAAUGAAUUGUCUCACCCCCGUCUGUCUUGACACAGCUCAGUGAAAGGCAUCUAUCCAUCCAUUCAAUGUUAGCUAGUUAGUUACUACAUACAGAUCAUAUACACAAUAUCAGCUAGCGAGCCACCCAUCUAAAGUCAGCUAGCUAGCUAACAGUAAACUUUUAACUUGCAAUGAAAACAACUUUCUGACAAAAUUAGAAACGUAUAUUAUCUGAAACUGUAGCUAGACUCUUACAUGGAUGAACUCUUCAUGGCAGACUGCAACCCCUUUCAUUAAAAUAAGACAUCCUGUGUAGUUUCCAUUUUGUUUGUACAGCUUGCUUUGUCCGUUGUGUCCAGUCAUACUGGUUCACACUGACCGUGUACAAUGCCAAAAGAAUCAUCAGAUCUUUUUCUCUCUCUGUCACGGAUGCCAUAGUUGCCCUUAGUUUGACGAUGUAAUCCGGAGACAGGUGUUUUAUACAGCAGCCUGUUCUCUUUUCAACUCCCUCUGCAUUUGCAAUCAAAUGCAAGAAUUCUAUUCAUCUCCUUAUCAUACUCUACUUCUACCAGACAUUCUACUGAUUUCAAAACUCAGUCACCUUGUUCCGUGACAACAACACUGCUAUAUGGCAGACCAAUCCAAACUCAUCUCUCGGCAUGUCCAGCCUACUCACUAUCUCAGCCAAUCAUGUCUAGCGGGAAGGUUGCUCUUAUUCUGUGGCUAAACCAACUAGGCUCAUAAUUUAACCAUUUUAUUUGUAUUUACAGAUGGCAUAUGCAUUUAUUAUUCAAGCGGAUAAAAUUUGAAAUAUUCCAGAAGGCAUUUCUGCCAAAAAUGCAUUAUUAAAAAAAUGCCCCAAUUUCAUGGGAUCCAAUUGGUAGAUACAGUCUCGUCCCAUCGCUGCAACUCUCAUACAGACUCGCGAGAGGCGAAGAUCAAGAGCCAUGCGUCCUCUGAAACACGACCCAGAUAAGCUGCACUGCUUCUUGACACAAUGACCGCUUAACCCGGAAGCCAGCCGCACCAAUGUGUUGGAGGAAACACCGUACACCUGGCGACCAUGUCAGCACCUGGCCCGCCACAGGAGUUCGCGCUAGAGCGCGAAGGGACAAGGACAUCCCGGCCAGCCAAGCCCUCCCCUAACCUAGACGAUGCUGGGCCAAUUGUGCGCAGCCCAAUGGGUCUCCCGGUCAUGGCCAGCUGCGACAGAGCCUGGACUCAAACCAGGAUCUCUAGUGGCACAGCCAGCACUGCGAUGCAGUGACUUAGACCACUGUACCACUCGAGAGACCCCCCCAAAAAACAUUUAAAAUAAUGUUCAAAUUACUCUCCUCUACUCCUGUGAAGUUGUGACUUGCGACAUACACCUAGUUUCCUGAAAUGAGUCACAUAUUAGAGGUGAAUAACCAUGAUUCUUGAUCUCUCUUGAUCCUAUUGGUAACCAUACAGGACCUGUUAGCUGUUGCUGCAGAUUUAAUAAUAGAUAUGCUGUUUUCCUAUACAGGACAAAACACACGUCACCAGGUAUAUUUAUUUCAUUUCACAAUUCUUUAAAGCAGGGGUGGACAAUCUUAGGCAGCGACAGCCAACAUGUGUGCAUGCUUUUGUUUUCAGGGUUGCCCACCUCUGCCCUACAGUGUUUAAUGCAAAAACACUCAGAGCACCAUGCCAUGGAUCUCUGACAGGCCUCCUGCAUGUUGGUGUCAGAAUGAUGAGCAGGUGUGUGCGUCGGUCUGUAACGCACCACAGGUUGGCUUUCUGCACUCCAUUGCCCUGUGCCCUCCCCAUUGCCCUGUGCCCUCCCCACUGCACUGUGGUCCUCUGUUCGUAAGCCGUUUGACAGAGCCCUACUAAUGGUAUAGCGGAAUGGAAGAUCAGACACACACAAACAUACAGUUUUGCACACACAUAUUACUGACAGUGCCCAGGGGCCAAAUGUAUAACCUUUUGUGUACAUUUUACACUAAAUAUCUACGUGCGUCAUUUUGAAAAGACUGCAUGCACAAAAAUAUGGAGAUUUAUAAACUUGCACACGUCAUACAUUCACAUGUUUCCCGUUAUAAAUCAGACCUAUCGUAAAACUGUGAGCAUGUGAACGAGCAUUAAAACUCUGCCUGAAAAACUCCCAUCACUCACCUUCUAUGGCGACAAUAAUGCCCUUAUUUGCUGUAUAAUUUGGAAGUAUUGGAAUUAGGCCAAGACAUUAUCUGAAGGAAAUAGCAAUCGCAAACUUGAUCUACUGUCUUUGGAGGUGUUGGCAGAAUAUUUUCUUUUGCAGUGACAUUUGCGGUAGCCUAUCUGACCAUUUCUGAAAGACAGAAACAAUUGCAAAUUGUUGUGGACUUGUAAACAAAUAGUUUGAAUUCAAUAAUGUUGCAUUUACUUUUUCCCCGACCCUAAAUAUGCUGCACUGCCAGCGAAAUCUGAAACAUUGCCUACUGUUUUAAAAAAAAACUUCAGUAGGGAGCAAAAUCUUGAAAGUGUAAUAGUCUAUCUAAUAGGCCCAAUGAAAUGAGAGAUGAGGAUGGUAAUAUCUUCUACGGCUACUUCGGGAAUAUGGCCAUAAAAUGUGAGGGAUGUAUUAUGCAAUGGUUAUGAUACAGUAUAUGUAUCAUGCAAUAUGUUUUAUUAAAGAAAUAAUGUG